UGGCAGUGGCAGUCCUGGUUAUGAUCAGUGCGGAUGUUUCAGUUCACACUUUGAUCUAAUACUUCCAAUAAACUUCCAAUAAUAAACUUCCAAUAAAGUUUAGAAAAUUGUUUUUGAAGUGCAAUUGUAAAAACGGAAAAACGCUAUUUUACGUUAUUCUUGUGGGAAGCUGUGGUAUAGUUGUGGCUGAUUGAUUUCGCGCUUUUUUAACAAUAAGUGACAAAUGUCUCCAACAACGCCUCCAACAAAUGGUCCAGGAAAAUCAUCGACCAGUUUUUUAUGUGGACAAGGAAUUACGGCGCUGAAUCCAUCCGCUUAAUGCCGAAAGCAUGAAAUAUAAUGGAAUUGAGCCUAUUGACUGAUUGAUUUGCUGCCCAAACCAAACCCAAGAACGGAGCCGACAAAAAAGCAAAUUUCCAUUGUACUCAUUUUUUAAAAUCUCGUUGAAUAAUUAUUUCACUUAUUCCAUGCAGGUAACUUGUUUCUGCAAGCUUUGCACUUUUUUUUAGAAAAAAAGGCUUGGUUGAUGUAGGAAAUUGCUACAAGUCCCAUUGUAGAGAAUAAAAGUAAAAAUUUGUGAUAUAAAAGAUUGAGCCUUUGUAGAUGCGGCUGUGCGGUAGUGCGAUGAAGAGAGAUUAAUAUUCGGCAGAAAGCGAGAGUAUAUCAGUGUGACGUAUGACGGCUAUUUAGUGGUUUGAAUGUCUUAAAUAAAUUUCCAACAGAAAAAGACUGAUUAACAAUAAACUAUAUGAAUGAA